ACUCCUACGGGAGGCAGCAGUGGGGAAUAUUGGACAAUGGGCGCAAGCCUGAUCCAGCAAUGCCGCGUGUGUGAAGAAGGCCUGCGGGUUGUAAAGCACUUUCAGUGGGGAAGAAACGUCUUGGGUUAAUACCCCAAGGGUUUGACGUUACCCACAGAAGAAGCACCGGCUAACUCCGUGCCAGCAGCCGCGGUAAU
rnacentral:rRNA from 1 species